AAAGCAAAACCCUAAACCCUUCCUUGCUUGUUCCUCUUCCGAUUUGAUCUCAUCGUCAAUGGCUUCCGCGUGCAGCAGAAUCGCGCAACGAACGUCAAUUUCUUCUAUAAAAUCAGCCAUCAAAUCCAACAUUCGCGCUUCUUCAUUCUCCAAACCAGCUUCCUCCUCUUCUCCUCUUCGCCAAUCCUUAUUGACCAGGAUUUCGCCGGAGCUGAGAUGCGCGCAGUCGAUGUUGCCGCUGCACAGCGCGGUGGCGGCGGCGAGAAUGACGUCGUGUCUGAGCGUGACUUCCAGAAGCUGCCGAGCGCUUUCUCAGGGUACUCUCUGCUGCACCUCUCCCGGCCUCUAAUACUUUCUUUUUCAAAAUUAUUCGCAAACUGCACAUAGUUAAUUGGGAAUUUGCGGGACCAGCCAAUUAUGGCCUACUGCUUCAUUAUCAAAUGGAAUUGAUGGGACGUGAGACAUGCAUGCUGUUCUUAAGAGCUUGGUCUAUCAGUUCCAAGGUGACCAGAAGAGAGAUUGAAGAAAGCCUUGUGUUUGUAAGAAGGUUGGAUUUAUGAUUGUUAACAUCUAUACACAGUAAGCGGCUGUACUCAAUGUGAUUCAUUCAGUCUGAGAAAAUGAUUUUUUGCUGAAUAAAAGAUACUUGCUCUGAUCUAUACGUUCAUUCAUUUAUGUGGAUAGUUAGAACUGCAAA